UGCUGCAGCGCCCCAGGAGUUCUAC
rnacentral:piRNA from 1 species